CUGCCAUGCAAGAUGUGACUUUGCUCUUCAUUCACCUUCUGCCAUGAUUGUGAGGGCUCCCCAGCCAUGUAGAACUAAAUUGUGGAGCCACCAUCUCUAAACAUCCUGCCUAACAGGACUUCUAGAAGUUCGCCAAAGGUCUCCUCAACCCCAGUUCAGUGAUAUAAUUUUGGUUUCUGAAGAGUGUUGACAUUUAUGGAUCGUCUGGUUGGAGAACUAAAGAAAUUUCUGGCAAGUGGAUACCACAUUGACAAGGUGCUCAUCAGCUGGUACAAUGGACCUUUAUCUCAGAGUUUAAAUUUAUUUGCAAGUGAUCUGAAAAGUCCAAGGCUUACCAUAUUUGAUGAAGAAAAUCAUACUCUAUAAGUGGAACUUGCUAUUUGGAAUUCCUCAAAGGGUCAAGGAUCCACUGGUAUGUCUUUGAAUGAGACACG
rnacentral:lncRNA from 1 species